UUUGUAWAAWUAKAAAAUAAUAAGAACAGUUGGGGGWUUUAGUAUUUAGUUGUCAGAGGWGAAAUUCUAGGAUUUACUAAAGACUGACCAAUGCGAAAGCAUUUGCCAAGGAUGUUUUCAUUAAUCAAGAACGAAAGUAGGGGGAUCGAAGACGAUCAGAUACCGUCGUAGUCUCUACCGUAAACUAUGCCGACCAGGGAUCCGGAGAGUUUGCAUGGAUGACUCCCCGGGCACCUUGUGAGCUUCAUAAGUGUUUGGGUUUUGGGGGGAGUAUGGUCGCAAGGCUGAAACUAAAGGAAUGACGAAGGCCCCCCCCGAUUGGC
rnacentral:rRNA from 1 species